rnacentral:rRNA from 1 species
AUUGAACGCUGGUGGCAUGCCUUACACAUGCAAGUCGAACGGCAGCGGGGGAGAAGCUUGCUUUUCCUGCCGGCGAGUGGCGAACGGGUGAGUAAUACAUCGGAACGUGCCCUGUAGUGGGGGAUAACUAGUCGAAAGAUUAGCUAAUACCGCAUACGACCUGAGGGUGAAAGUGGGGGACCGCAAGGCCUCAUGCUAUAGGAGCGGCCGAUGUCUGAUUAGCUAGUUGGUGGGGCAAAGGCCUACCAAGGCGACGAUCAGUAGCUGGUCUGAGAGGACGAUCAGCCACACUGGGACUGAGACACGGCCCAGACUCCUACGGGAGGCAGCAGUGGGGAAUUUUGGACAAUGGGCGAAAGCCUGAUCCAGCAAUGCCGCGUGUGUGAAGAAGGCCUUCGGGUUGUAAAGCACUUUUGUCCGGAAAGAAAUGGCUCUAGAGACUACCUGGGGUCGAUGACGGUACCGGAAGAAUAAGGACCGGCUAACUACGUGCCAGCAGCCGCAGUAA